rnacentral:tRNA from 1 species
GGGCGAUUAGCUCAACCGGCAGAGCGCCACCCUUACAAGGUGGAGGUCGCAGGUUCGAACCCUGCAUCGCCCA